rnacentral:rRNA from 1 species
UACGAAGGGGGCGAGCGUUGUUCGGAGUUACUGGGCGUAAAGGGCGCGUAGGCGGCGAUCCAAGUUAGGCGUGAAAGCCCCGGGCUCAACCUGGGAAUUGCGCUUAAGACUGGAUUGCUCGAGUGCGGGAGAGGUGAGUGGAAUUCCCAGUGUAGAGGUGAAAUUCGUAGAUAUUGGGAAGAACACCAGUGGCGAAGGCGGCUCACUGGCCCGCAACUGACGCUGAGGUGCGAAAGCGUGGGGAGCAAACAGG